rnacentral:rRNA from 1 species
ACGAACGCUGGCGGCGUGCUUAACACAUGCAAGUCGAACGAUGAUGCCAGCUUGCUGGUGGAUUAGUGGCGACCGGGUGAGUAACACGUGAGCAACCUGCCCCUGACUUCGGGAUAACCGCGGGAAACCGUGUCUAAUACCGGCAAUGACGCGCUAUCGCAUGGUGGUGUGUGGAAAGAUUUAUCGGUUGGGGAUGGGCUUGCGGCCUAUCAGCUUGUUGGUGGGGUGAUGGCCUACCAAGGAGACGACGGGUAGCCGGCCGGAGAGGGUGACCGGCCACACUGGGACGGAGACACGGGACAGACGCCUACGGGAGACAGCAGUGGGGAAUAUUGCACAAUGAGCGCGAGGCUGAUGCAGCGACGCCGCGUGAGGGAUGACGGCCUUCGGGUUGUAAACCUCUUUCAGUAGGGAAGAAGGCCUUCGGGUUGACGGUACCUGCAGAAGAAGCGCCGGCUAACUACGUG